GGAGCCUAGGGGCGGGGCGCAGGGAAGCGGGCUCCAGCUGUCUGUUCCUGGCUGCGGCGGGGCUGAGGGCACAGCCAGCGAUCGGCGAAUCGCGGACCCCCGGGCAGCCCGGAAAGAAAAAUAAAUGCCAAUUGGGCUGUAAAUUAGAGAGGAAUAUCUUCUUUCCUUAUAAGGAUUUCUGAAUGUGAUGGAUUCUCCAAGCUCUUGUGGAUGCUUCAGCUUUCUCAAUUCAAUAAAGAAGUCUUCAGUUUUCAGGACAGCACGCUUAACCCUGCAACUAAAUAGCCUGCAGGCACUGACAGAGGAUACUAACA
rnacentral:lncRNA from 1 species